rnacentral:rRNA from 1 species
AUGCAUGUGUAAGUUCAGCUAUCAAGAAUUGUGAAACCGCGAAUGGCUCAUUAAAUCAGUUAUAAUCUACUUGGUUGUCAUAACACAAGGAUAACUGCGGUAACCCUGCAGCUAAUACUUGCAAAAUGUGUAAGUCAAUUCGGACUCACUACUUUUAUUAGAGAAACCUGCGACGGGUCAGCUACCGCGUAUUCGCGUGGAGAGCUCUGAAUAACUGAAGGAUGCCUAUAGCCACGAGCUGGGCACGAACCAUCCGAGUAUCUGACCUAUCAACUUCUGACGGUAGUGUAACGGACUACCGUGGUUGUGACGGGUAACGGGGAAUCAGGGUUCGAUUCCGGAGAGGGAGCCUGAGAAACGGCUACCACACCCACGGGAGGCAGCAGGCGCGCAAAUUACCCAAUCUCAGCACGAGGAGGUAGUGACGAAAAAUAACAAUAUGAACCCUAUUGGGUUUGUGAUUGGAAUGAGAGAAAUUUAACAACUUUCAUUCGAGGAUCUAGUGGAGGGCAAGUCUGGUGCCAGCAGCCGCGGUAAUACCAGCAUCCACAAGCAUAUGCAAAAGUUGCUGCGUUUAAAAAGCUCGUAGUUGGAUCUGUCGAUGGUGUUGCGUUUAACAGCCGGGUUCGUUAUGAGUGUGCUGGUGACAUCAUCUUCUUCCCGUUGAGGGUGUUUGCACUUAAUUGUGUCGAACUCUCGAGACGGAUUAUUAAUUUGAAUAAAUUAGAGUGUUCAAAGCGACCUUUGGGAAAGCAUAAUAAAGCAUGUGAUAGAGGAGGAAGACCCACCGUUGCGUGUUGGGUUUGCGACGGAUGGUAAUGAUUGAAAGGAACAGUCGGGGGCAUUUGUAUUGCUACGUUAGAGGUGGUUAGAGUAUUAGAAGAGGAUUAGAUACCCUCGUAAUUCUAACCAUAAACGAUACCAUCUUACGACUUGUCAAAGUCCUGUACGACUUGGCAAGGAGUUACCCGGAAAACCAAAGUCCAUUGGCUACGGGGGAAGUAUGGUUGCAAAAUCGAAACUUAAAGGAAUUGACGGAAGGGCACCACCAGGAGUGGAGCCUGCGGCUUAAUUUGACUCAACACGGGAAAACUCACCAGGUCCAGACAUUUUAAGGAUUGACAGACUGAAUAUCUUUCAUGAUUACAUGGGUGGUGGUGCAUGGCCGUUCUUAGUUAGUGGAGUGAUUUGUCUGGUUAAUUCCGAUAACGAACGAGAUCCUAGCCAUCUAAAUAGUGAGAGUCACUCUAUAAUGUGGCUUAAAUUACUUCUUAGAGGAACAAUGUGGAAUAACUACCACAGGGAAGUGGGGCUAUAACAGGUCUGUGAUGCCCUUAGAUGUCCUGGGCCGCACGCGCGCUACACUGGAAGCCACAGAUUGAGGUGUAACCUUGUCCGAUCUGGUCCGGGUAAUCACCCUAAAAGCUUUCAUAAUUGGAAUGGAUUAUUGUAAUUAGUAGUCCUGAACGAGGAAUUCCUAGUAAGUUCCAGUCAACAGCUGGAACUGAUUACGUCCCUGCCCUUUGUACACACCGCCCGUCGCUACUACUGAUUGGAUGUUUAAGCGAGAUUUUUGAACACUGGCUACUAUUAGCUUCGGCUAUAAUGUAGUGAGGAAGAAGAAGAUCGAGCUUACUAUCUA